AGAGUUUGAUCCUGGCUCAGAGUGAACGCUGGCGGUAGGCCUAACACAUGCAAGUCGAACGGCAGCACAGUAAGAGCUUGCUCUUACGGGUGGCGAGUGGCGGACGGGUGAGGAAUACAUCGGAAUCUACUUUUUCGUGGGGGAUAACGUAGGGAAACUUACGCUAAUACCGCAUACGACCUACGGGUGAAAGCAGGGGAUCUUCGGACCUUGCGCGAUUGAAUGAGCCGAUGUCGGAUUAGCUAGUUGGCGGGGUAAAGGCCCACCAAGGCGACGAUCCGUAGCUGGUCUGAGAGGAUGAUCAGCCACACUGGAACUGAGACACGGUCCAGACUCCUACGGGAGGCAGCAGUGGGGAAUAUUGGACAAUGGGCGCAAGCCUGAUCCAGCCAUACCGCGUGGGUGAAGAAGGCCUUCGGGUUGUAAAGCCCUUUUGUUGGGAAAGAAAUCCAGCUGGUUAAUACCCGGUUGGGAUGACGGUACCCAAAGAAUAAGCACCGGCUAACUUCGUGCCAGCAGCCGCGGUAAUACGAAGGGUGCAAGCGUUACUCGGAAUUACUGGGCGUAAAGCGUGCGUAGGUGGUUGUUUAAGUCUGUUGUGAAAGCCCUGGGCUCAACCUGGGAACUGCAGUGGAAACUGGACGACUAGAGUGUGGUAGAGGGUAGCGGAAUUCCUGGUGUAGCAGUGAAAUGCGUAGAGAUCAGGAGGAACAUCCAUGGCGAAAGGCAGCUACCUGGACCAACACUGACACUGAGGCACGAAAGCGUGGGGAGCAAACAGGAUUAGAUAC
rnacentral:rRNA from 1 species